UUCAUUAGGCCCCAUUUUAUUUUUGGGUUUAUAUUCCCUUUAAUUAUAUUUGUGACAUUGGCUGUUUAUCUGUUGUAAUAGGUGUUAAUUUGCCUGUCUGGUCAUUAAUCAGUUAACUGCUAAAAAAUGUUAUAUAAACUUCUGUGUGGGGGUUAAUUGCUGAAGCGGAGAAAACUCUGGCCUGGCAAUUAGAAGGUUAAGUGUUCUGUUAUACGUGUAGCUUGGCAUGACUACUUGGUCCUUUGGAGUCAAACGUUAAUUAACAUUGUUAUUAAAAUGUUAAUUACUAUUAUUAUAAGUGCUAGUGUUUGUGCUUUGCUAUGAUAUGAUCAAAUGCCAUUUUGACACAAGUGGAAAGGUCUGAUUGGCCAUUAGUUGGUUAAUUAUUAGCGUUAUGUAAGUGUUAAUGUGACUAAUUGGCCUCAUGAUGGGGAAUUUCACUUUCUUUUAUUAAAGUGGAUGUGUUUGCUUUUAGCUACUUAAUGAACAUUGCCACAAUUAUUAAUGGGCAAUACUGAAAAAAUGGCAUUAAUACUAGAGUCCAUGGGCAAAAAAAAAAAACCCUUUAAGGUUUGUGUGUGAAUGAUUGUUUGAGUGACUUGAUAUUUUCUCAAAUGCCAAUUCUGUUAUAUAAUGAAGUGCUAAGCUCAUCGCAUUGUCUUGCUGCCCUCUUUUAUUAACAGUAAACAGAGCUGGACAGCUGAUUUCUUAUUUGGAGUGGGGAAAGGGGGAACAAAAUCAUUGUUUUUAUGAAUGGCAGAACCAGCAGUGACCCAUCCUUAAUAAAUACAUAAAGGGGGGUGAUACAAGGAGUUUAGUAUGCUCUGUGUAAUUCCUACGUGUGAUAUCAGUUUCUCUGUAUUAUAGAGUUACAAAAAUAUCUGUAGGGAAUUCUCUGUGUGACGCAGGAAGCUAACAUUUGGAUUCAGUGAUGAGCUUAAAUACCUUGCCCCAAGGAACAUUUCUAAUGGUACUAGGCACAGCAGAAACACAAUUUUCCUCUAUUCCUUCCUUGUUGGUCCUAAUAGGUCUUCACCAGUACAUAUGAUUGGACUUUUUUAAGGGGAAAUAUUAGGUUAAUGGGUUUUUUUUGUCAUGCAGGAUAUAUAUACCUAUAGCCUAAUCAGUCAUUGUUCUGAUGGCUAACUGAGAAAGUAUAGCACCCUAGUUCCUUCACUUUGCAUACAAUGGGAAUUGAUCCAUAUGGAUAUCUGUGCAACAUUAUUAAACCUUGUAAUCAUCAUGUAGUGCCAAUCAGUAUUUAAACGCUGACAGGAGCAGGGCAACUUGAAUCCAAUCAGAGCAUUAAUACAUGCAGUUGGCUUUACCAACUUGUGACCAAGCAGAUCAAAGUGAAAAGUUGUCCCAAUAUGCCCAGAUUUGGUCUGGCAUUUUGAUUAAUUUCAACUGUACAGCCUGACAAUUUUACUGGGUGGAUGGGACUUAUAUAGAUGGGGAAAUGAGAGAAGCCAAAGCACCCCUCUCAUUUGGUUUAAAUGAAGGGAAUAGUGCAUAAAUUGACCAAUUGCACAACAGCCAUCAGUUAGUUAAAUAACUCAGGGGUGUUUGAACAACCUGUAGUUAAAGAGAUCAUUAGAGCAUUCAGCAGGCCACAUCAACCUGUAGCCAAUCACACCAUUAGAACAUGUAUAGAAUUAGACUCUCCUGUAACCAAUCAUAGUAGUAUCUGUACUUAAAUAGAUCAACCUGUAGGUAAUUAGAACAUAAAACAUGCACAGGGUUAGGCCAAACUGCAGCCAAUCGGAACAUAAGAACACGAACAGGUUUAAAAGCAACUUGUAGCCAAUUAGAGCAUCAGAACAUGUACAGGGUUAGAGGAACCUGCAGGGCUGGAACUAGGGUAUGCAGAAGAGGCAUGCCUACCCCUAGUCUGGCAGGGCCAAAGAAUUUGAAUACCACCAUUCCUUUCCCUCUGUACCUCUGCCUGUCUGUUGUUUUAAGGCUCAUUGGUUCCUAGGAAUGGCAGCUUAUCCAUAGGGGUGCUGUGCCUGCUCUGCAGUUUCCAGCUUUGGAAUCACGGAAUUGACUGCCAGAAGAAGAAAAGGCAUUUUACUUUUUAUUUUUGUUAGAACAUCUGCAAAUCUGUCACUGUGAACGUGCCUUUGCACUAUGGAUCAACAUGUGCCUUAGGAGGCCUUGAAAACAUUCUCUCUUUUCUUUUGCAUGCCACCAAAGUUGAGGCAGGUACAUAAAUAUGUACCUGCCAAUCAGUGGAGAGACCAGACCACAACUAGUUGGGGGGGGGGCAGCAUUGAAAAAGCAUCUUUGUAUAAAAUUAGUUUUAUGCAUUUGACUUUUAUUUGUACACUUCUCUGCUUUGUAUUGUGCACCUGCGUAUAGACUGUAACCUUAGUCUGUAUUCAUGCAAUAUUCUGUGGUUUGAGGAACAAGUUUGAACUCUGUUUCAUACAGAGGCAUGUCAUGCAUUGAUUUUGUUUCCAUUCUUAUUGAAUUUGGCUCUGUUAAUGUUUAAAUUGUUGGCAUUCUUAUGUUCUGAUUGGCUAACGGAGGGUCUGACAGCAAAAAACAAGGGACAACCAGAAACCCAAAGAUCCGCAAAAAAAAAAAAAAAUCAGUAUAAAAAUUAUUUAUUAAAAAUUACAUUAAAAUAUCAA